GCCCCGCCCAUUUCCAGGCAGCUGGCCUCCGCCGGCCUCCGACGCCCGCCACGCUCUUCCUCUAAAGGCUCACGGGAUCCCGCCUUGACCGCUCGUCCAUCGUCUCUUCACCCUCCCUGGCCCCUCCAGACUUGCGUCCACCUUCUCCAGGCCCUUCCCCCACGGCCCUCCCCUAGACCGACCUCUGCUCCUGAAACCCCUCCAGCAAUUUGGCCCCUCCCAUUGCCCCUUCGGGACCUGUCCCCCCACCCCCGACCCUCCCGCCGCUGCCCAGCGCAGGAGUGACUUUGUUCCCCGCCGUCCUCGUUGUCACCCUCCACUCCUCCAUCAAGUUGCCAAGUCCAGUUUCCGCUGGAAACUUCGUCUGCAGAACCGAGAAAGAGGGUGUUGAGAAGGGCUCUGAGCCUCGGUUUCCUCAACUGUACAAUGGAGGUCUUUGCCAGUAUUGAUUAGGUAUGAGCGGGGGGUUGAGGGGCGGGGAGGUAACAGGUCAGCUGGGCACUGGUUCUGAUGGCCAACGCCCGGCAUCCAUCCGUGUGCGGGCCUCUGCUGAUAGAGAAAGACCCAAGAGAAGCAGCCGGAGGUCCCCUGGUGGCUCACUUUCAGGAUCGGGGAGAUGGAGAUGGAGAGAGUGCUGGGGGGUCCCAACUAGCUAAGUCUCCAACAUCCUCCCCCUGCAGUCACCUUGGCCUCCACUCCUCAGACCCAGACCCAUCAGGGAAGGUCCUUCCUCAGGCGCCACCCCCCUUCCGGUCUUCCCAUCCUUGUAAAACUUGCUUCCUCAUUACCUUUGGGUUCCUGUGUCGCCUCCUCAAAGAGCCUUCCCUGACCACCCUACCAAAAACGACAACUUCCCUCCCUCUCUAGCCCCUGCCCUGCUUCUGGUUAGGCUUGGCCAAGGCAUUUGUGUUCUUAUCUGCUUCACAAACUCCCUUUCCUGCACGCGUCCCACACACACAGGGUUACCUCCGCAGAUUCUGUGCCCUAGAACCAGCGCUGAGCCAACUCAUCCCACUUUUCCUGGCAUCCAGCCCAGGGCAGAUGCCAGAAAACAUUUGUUGAAUGAAGAAAUGAACAUUGCUUGGGCUCUCUCCUUUUAUUUCAGUAAUACUCCAGGUAUUGUCCACAUAGGGAAUUUUUAAAUGUCGACCAGUGUCGAGUUAUAUUUUGGACUUGAAGAGGGCAUGAGCAGGCCCAUUAGAGCAUAUUCUAUUUCUUUAUCUGGGUACUGAUUACAUGGUGUAGUCAGUUUACAAAAAUUAAACAAGCUGUAACUUCAUGAUUUAUGUACUUUUCUGUAUAUAAAUAUUCAGAAUAUAAAAAUGAAUUAAGAAUAAAAAGAUUUAAAGUCCUUGAAAAAAUUCUGUUUAGC
rnacentral:lncRNA from 1 species